rnacentral:piRNA from 1 species
GAAUAGUUCGAGCUCACUAAGACUACCUGG